CUUCACUUUAGCUCUCAGUUUUGGUGUUUGAAAGAAAGAAACGGGUUGAUGCCCUGUUUUCUCUGUCGGUUGUUGCUGCCUAAGAAAAAUACAGAGAUCUCUUUCUCACUCUCUCGGUUGGUAACUCCAAAGAAGCUGAUCACUCAACUCCUCAGUCGGUGAUGACAAUUCCAAAGCUCCCCACGUAGCUUCUACUUCUAAGGUUCAGACAACCCGCGGCUGCAUGGUAGUUCUAACCAAGGCUCAAGGUUAGUUAGGUCUUUUAACACUAAUUCAUUUGCUUACUAAGGCUGCAAUUUUUAUUAAUUCACACGUUAACUCCCAACCUUAUUUGUAUUUCCUUGAUCUCGUAGAUUCUCACACAUUUGAUUUUAUAGGAAAUUAAUUAGACAUGUAACUUGUUCAGCUAUAAUAUAUUCAAAUCACACAAAUUACGAUAUGCAUACAAUAUAUUUAUUUGAUUCAUAUAAUUUUUGUAAAAUUUAAAUCUAGACAGUUAAUUAAUCUAUUAUUUGUUAUAUAUAUUACUUCUAAUGGCCAUAUGAAAGUAAUACAUGCAAAGCUUACACAAAAAUUUUCUCGGGUUUUCACACUUAUGAUCUGAUGACUUUUCUGAUUUCAUAGGUUAGGGACUAAUGUGCAUAAUAUAUCGUAGAAACACUAAUACAAAAAGAUUAAGUAUUGUAAUUGUGUGAUAGGCUAUUUGACUAAAAAUUGAUAGUGUGUUAGUCAGAACCGUGGGUCUGUUUGGAUAGAAUGUUAUUUUAAAUAAUUACUAUAGUACUUUUUGUGAUGUGAUGUAUGUGAGAUAAAAAGGUGAUUGAAAAUAUAAAAAGUUGGAUUGAAAAAUUUAUUUAUGAUAUAAGCAAAAUAUUAUUUGAAAAAUUGGGGUACCCAAACAAACCCCAUGUUUGAUUUGAUGUCCUUAGCUUUUUAUUAAGAUUAUUAUUGAACAUUGAAAAGGAUUCAUCUACAACUAUUGGAAAGCCUAUUUUCUAGAUCAAAACCUUAAAUGAGAAUAAAAUUAGAAAAAAAUAAAAAUAUUAUUACCUAAUAUUAUGGAAUGAUAAAUUUUACUCACCAAUAACUUUCCACACGGGGUAUACAUUCAAAUUUAAACUCAAUCCAAAGUCAAGUUUUACAUUUAUAAAUUUUUAAAUACCCUACGCACGAUUUUUUGGAAAUAUACAGGUCAUGAUUAAGUAUAGGGUAUUAAGAGUUAAACCCAAAGGGAAGAAUAGGCAACUACCUGUACUACUAAAAUUUCUCUAUUAUUUAGACAAUCAACAUAUUGAAAGAAAUAAACUAAGGUAAAAUGAGUAAGAAAAUAGCAAAUAAAACCUCCUUAGAUCAUAGUAUCUCUAACUACUCAUAUAAGUGCAAAUUUUUGGAUUAUUGAGAACUACUAUUUUGGUUAGUUAUGUCGUAAUUUUCUUGUGCUUGAAAACCUACUCUCACAGUAAAUCACCUAUACCUAUAAUUAAUUCAUAUCUACUCUCAUAGUUAUGAAAUUAGUUACAAGUUCAUUACCGUUAUAAAAUUGCAUGGAACAACAUCACAAAAGUUAUAACGAGGCACUUCUAUUCUCGUGAGUGUACUCUGUAGAUUUAGCAUUUUUUUAAAUUGGUGUUAAAUUUCAAUUUUCAUUGAAAAAAUAAUACUUUUAGAUAAUCAUAAUUAAUGGUACUAAGUUAAUCAUGAUUAGAGGAGUAAAAGUGCUAAACAAUUUGCUUAAAAUAAUAGUAUCAAAUAAUCAAAAAAUCAAUACAAUAUAAUCAUAGAAAAUUCAACCAAAACCCAAGGCAUAAACUUUAAAAUGACAUAAUGAAAAUACAAAACUUGCACAUUAACUAAACUUAAAAUCAAUACAAAAGAUAAAGAAUUGGGAAGGUAAAGUAAUUCUUGUCACAUGAGCUCCCUCCUUACCUUCUUCAUCUCUAACUUUAACUUCAUCUAACUAAUACACAAGAAAGAAUGAACUAACUAACCUAAAUCAUCCUACAUUAACUAAAACUAAGAAAUGUGAAGACUACAUUUUGAAGUGACGAAGUGUCUUCCCUUUCCUUCCUUGUUGAGUCAAUAGAAGAAUGGAAGACCAACCCACUAAUUCUGAACUAAUCCUAUACUAGUACGACCUAAACUAAGAAACUAAGUAUCUAUAUUUUGGUGUUGCUCUUCUCCCCCUUUUUCUUUGCAAAAAUUGCUCUCAAAAGCUCCUUUUAUAGAAAGAAGAAAGAGCUCAAUUAUUGCGCAAGUUGCAUUGGUUUUUUGACAUGAAUUCGACCCACAAUACGCAUAUGAAUUGUUGGUCAGAUUGCUCCCCUAUUUCUGCCUUGAAAAUCUCAAAAACAGCAUUCUAUGAAGAUCUACGAGUCCUCGGAUUGAUCCACGGAUCCCUCAUUUUGCGUUGUUCUUCAUUAUACCUUUGCUCUUUGCUUGCAAUCCAUCCUGAAAUCUGGGUCUAGAUUAAUAUGAAAAUUUCUCUAUGAAAUAUGAAAGUUGUAGCUCUUUGGAAUAGAUUUCCAAUGGCUCAAUAAUCAAGUCAUUUCAAUAGCUGGGGACUAAGUUAUGGCCAAAACAUUAAUGACUGGUCGGAAAGCAUUGUAAGAGAAAAGUACUUGAGUAAUUUUGACUUUUGGCUAAGAAAAUGUGAGAACUAAAUUUUGAUGUCUCAAAAGAAUUGUUGUCCUUCUUCUUAACUUUAAAUUGGUUUAAGAAUUAUCUCAAUCCAUGUUUUGUAACUCAAGUUAUAGCUAAUAUACCAAAAUAUAUCAUUGUUGCUAAUGCUUUUCUUCUUGUUUCUUGAUUGCAUUUCAUCCUUUGGUCCUUCAUGUCACAUGAUUUCCACUUCAAAUCAUCGACAAUCCAGCAAGUAUCUCCUCACUUCCCUUCAUUUGAUGAUUGAACUAUCAAAACCUAUAAAAAAUGAAAUUUUCGCACUUAAGUCCAUAGAAAUGCAAGUUUUCUUACUUAACCAUAAAAUGCAAAACUUAACUAAAAACCUAGUUAGUUGACUUGAAUUUGAAUGAAAAUACACAUAAAUAACCACAUACAAAUAUGCAACACAAGCACUUAUCACUUACCAGCAUAUUUUCUAAGUGAAAAAAAUUAAGCAUAAAAUUUUUAAAUCUUUUAACGUUGCUAUACUAGGAACAUUCUUUACGGUAUAUUUACUAUCGUCACACCAUCAACUAGAGCGACAACAAUCUUAUUUCCUAUUAUUAGAUAUGUCUAAACUAUAAAUUUAUAAACAUUUGAAGUGCUUAAAUUUUCCGCUGUUGAGUUUGAAUUGGAUAUGCUGGGGAAACAUACUGUGUAGCAGCCUUAGUCAAUGUGUUGAUUAAUAAUGUGUCCCUUUAUAAGCUUGAUUUCUUUCAUUCGUUAUCUAUUAUAGUAAUAUGUGAGCUGUCAUUUCAUGUUCCAAGGAUCCAGUGUAUUAUCCUGUCCAAGUUUUAGUCCCAAACUAGAUUUCCAAAUGAUUUUUUUAGUAAUUUUGCAUAUUAACAUGUUUUAUCUACAUUGCAACUUCUAAGAUUUAUUUCAUUGGUUUUUCAACUAAUCAAGAAGUGAUAAUCAUGAGUAAAAGAUUUUGAUGCUUCUCCACACAUAUUUCUUUCUGUAGAAGAAACAAUCUAUAAUCAAUUACCAUUGAAAGCCAACAAAAAUGCAAAAAUUAUACUACAAAAUAUCAUCCAACCAAAUAUCACUAUUCUUAAUAAUUAUUAUUUUUUAUUUUUAUAUCACUAUUCUUAGAUGAAAAUGUGGCUUAAGAUAUACAUGGUAACUAAUAACGGUACAUAGAACAACAAGAAUAAAGAAUGGAACCAAACAAUUCUAAAACAAUUCAGAUAUAAGCUUAAACUAAUUAAUAAUUCAAGGAUAUACUAAAAAUGUAUCGUCAACCACUUUUGUUUGGUUCUUAUAUGUUCAUUUAUUUCCUAAAUUUAAUCAUGUGAUUGGAUGUUCUAUAAAUAAAGCAAAUACAUGAUGAUACCAAUUUGAAAGCAAAACCCAUAGAUAGUUUUAAUCAUCAUAUUUUUCCUAAAUUUAAUCAUGCGAUUAGAUGUUCUAUAACAAUCCCGCGUUCUUGUUUAUUUAUUUUUAUUUUAUUAUUUGUCUUUUGGGAUGCCAAAAUCAUUUCGUCAAUUUUCUAGGGUCAGAGCUAACAAAUUAGUAUCAGAGUUUCUUCAGAGGUUUUGAAUUUUGUGACAACGAUCAUAAUAACAAAAAUUGUUGCCAAGAAAUUCGAUAGGAAUGUCAACUUUGGGAUGUGGUAGCUCAAGAUAGAGGCCAUUUUGGUUCAAGAUAGAAUUAAUCUGGCAAUACAGGGAAUUGAGAAAAAAGAUAAAGGGUGUGACAGAUGCAAAUUUUGCUGAGAUAGAUAAGAAGAUAAGGUCCAGUAUUAUUUUAAAUCUCUCUGACGAGAUUUUAUGAGAGGUAGCCAUUAAGACUUCGGCAAAAACUAUGUGAACCAAGUUUAAGGUCUUGUACAUGAAGAAGACAAUUGAGAAUUGACUUUAUUUAAAGUAAAAUCUGUAUAUACUUCGCAUGACUGAAGGUACAUCUAUACUUCCACAUCUUGAUAAAUUUGGUUCCAUUAUCAUGGAUUUGGAGAAUACAAAUUCUAAAAUUGAUGAUGAGGAUCAAACCCUGUUAAUUUUGUAUUCCCUUUCCCAGUCUUUUAAAUAUUUUCAUGAUACUAUGAUUUAUGGAAAAGAAACAAUUUCACAUCGAAAAAUUAAAUCUGCAUUAAAAUCUAAAGAGCAGAUAGACAGAGAUUUUUUUUUUUUUAAAAAAAGAGAUCUUAUUUCACUUUAAAAAAGGGGAGAGUACAAUGGGAGACUGAUGGAGAGAGGGAGGGUUACUCCGUUAUAUGGUCAGGGAGGUGGACCAACCUUAUAUAAGGAACGUGGGCUCUGUCCAAAGCAACUAAACUUAUGAUAUGUCUGGGGAGUUGUGUCACUGAGAGGACUGAGAAGCGCUUGCAAGGGUUGCAAGGGCAUCGGCCACCGCAUUGGCCUCCCUAAAGACGUGGGUGAAGGUGAACUACUUGCCCAGGGCCAAUUGUCGAAUGUGAGAGAUGGAUCGCCAUAUCCUCCAAGUAACCUGAGAUUUGCCCUGCAACAUGAGUACCGGGUUUUUGAAUCCGUUUCAAUGUCCACCGCAGUGAGGCCGCGCUCUGUACAAAGCUGCAUCCCUCUAGAAGGGCUAGGGCCUCGGCCUCCAUGUUUGUCCUAAUCCCAACAAACAUUGCAAAGCCAAACAAAACGUCUCCUGAUGGGCUCCGCACCACGCCACCCCCGUCAGAGAAGCCAGGGUUUCCUAGGGACGAACCAUCCACAUUGAGUUUGACAGUGCCUGGGGAUGGACACUUCUACAUAACCGAGACAGGGAUUUUUGGCUUGGGGUGGGAGAGUCGGGAAGCCAACCCUAGAGCCACUAGCGUCGAGUCCUUAAGUGUAGCCUGUACGAAGGGAAAUGCUUGCGAGAUAGCCAAGACCGAUAGUUGAAUGUGUCGACAAACUUACAUAGGACAAGCAUUGCCACCAUUAUGGAACAGGUGGUUUCAAACAUUCCAAAUCUCCUAGCAAAUGAUAGACGGCAAAAUUAUGAGCAACAACCCUUUCACUGAGUUAAGUGAGACAUUGGACCACCAAUGUUGUAACCGCAUCAGGAUGCCAUUUGAUGAAAACCCUGGGAGGUUAAGGGCAUGGGAAUAGAAUCCCCAAAGAGCCGAUGCAAAUCGACAAUCCGAUAACACAUGAUUACGUGUUUCCUUGCUUGGGCAGAAAAAGCACUUAGAGGGAAGCUGGAAGCCCGUCUUGCGCAGAGUCUCGGGGAACGGAAGAUACUCAUUGAACAGUUUCCACAUAAAGAUGGAGACCUUGCAGGGAAGGCGCCGAUCCCAAAUUAGUUUCCUGGACAUGAGAGUCGCUCGUGCCCUUCCGGUAGUUUCGUACGCGGAGGAAGUCGAAAAACACCUAGACGCUGUAAGGGUCCAGACUCGUUUCCCCUCAUGGAAAUCCAGGUCCUCGAAGAAACAAUCAACUGUGGACUGCAUGGAGAGCAUCACCUCCAUACCCGUGAAGAGGUGCCGCGCAGUUGGCCCGAGACGUACUUAGAGUGCAUGAACCUAACCCACAGCAACUCCGCAUUCCGGUAUUGCCACCAAAGCUUGCAACUAAACGCCGCCUGGACAUCGUGGAAACUCCGCAAACCUAGUCUGUCCUCAGCGGUGGGAUAACACAAUUCCCGCCAGGCUCGCCAGUGGCGCUGGGGGCCCUCGUCGGACUCCUCCCAGAAGAAGUCUGCCACGAUUUUAUCGAAAUUCUUGAGCACUCUACUGGGGGGUCCAUGACUGUCAACACAUGCAACGGAAUGGAAGAGAGGACAUGCCGAAUUAGGACUAAAUGCCCUCCUGGAGAGAGAAGCCUCUUCUUCUACCCCGCAACCUUAGCCGCUAGUUUCUUGAUUAGGUAUUGGAAAUAUUCCUUCUUUUGGCGGCCAUAAUAGAGAUUGCAGCUAGAUACAAAAAAGGAAGCGAGCCGUGCCUGAAGCCGGUGAUGUGCUGGAUCGUUCAAACAUGAGCAACUUUGCACCGUGUAGGGGUAAUAAAGAAGCUUUUCUGCUUAUUGACUUUCUGAUCUAACCCUCUCUGAAACGUGUCCAAAAAAGUCAUCAAUCUCGUAACAGAGCGCCGAUCACUCCUGGUGAAAACAACCACGACAUCGGCGAAGGAGAGAUGCUUAAUGGGGAAACAACCCCGUGGCAGAGCAAAGGAGGUGAUGCUGCCCUCUUGCACUUGCCUAGUCAAUCCUCGACUAAAAGCCUCGGAGACAAGAAUAAAUAGCAGUGGAGAGAGAGGGUCCCCCUGUUUGAGUCCCCGAGUUGCCUGAAAGAAACCCUUUGGGCUGCUGUUCACCAAAAUUGAGAACCAAUUCUGGGAGAGGUUAUUUGUGAUGAGAUGAACAAACCUGGGGUGUAAAUCGAACUUCCCCAAGAGCUGCUCGAAAAAAAAUCACAAGACCCUGUCAAACGUCUUCAUCAUGUCGAGCUUGAGGAUGCAGUUAUGGCCCCGUGCUUUCCUAUUGAUGGAUCCAACUAGCUCUUGUGCAAGAAGGAUGUUUUUUGCUAUGUCUCACCCUGGGACAAAAGCGGACUGCUCUGGCGAGAUGAGAGCCGACAAAGAGUACUCGCAAUCUGUUAACGAGAACCUUGGUAAAGACCUUGUUAGCGAAGGUGCACAAACUAAUAGGCCAAAAGUUUGUGAAGGAGGAGGGGUUCGAUUUCUUCGGGAUCAAGACAAUGAGGGUACUACUUAUGCCCUUUGGGAUUGGGGUUCCUGCCAUGAAGUUUUUGGUUGCCUGCAGGACAUCAUCGACGAUAAUAUCCCAGCAGUGAGUGAAGAAAGUUCCAGAGAAACCAUCCGGACCCGAAGCGCUAUUGUCAUCCAGAGCGAACACCACCUGUCUCACUUCUUCAAAGGAUCACGUCCCCCAAUAACUGGUUAUUUUGAUCCCCAGCCACAAGGACGGGAAUGUGCUGUAACAAUUCUUCGACCUCAACUGGUUCGUCGGCAAUUAGCGAGUCCUUGAAGAAUUUUUUGGCCAUUGCAGCAAUUUGCUCAUCCUCUUCCACCCACGACCCAGUUUCGUCCUUGAUUCUAUAGAUUGUGAGCUUGGCCUGUUUGUUUUGAAUGGAGGCGUGGAAAAAACUAGCAUUGCGAUUUCCCUCCCUGGCCCAUUUAAUUCUCGCCUUUUGCCACCAAAAUUCCUCUUUAUUCCUUAGGCUGGAUAGAAGCUGGGCUUGGGCUCGAUGCAGCGCACUUCUAGCACCAUCCAUUUGUUGGGUUUCGUAUUCGGCCUCCUGUUGCUGCACUUCCAAUUCUCGUUGUUUCACCAUUUGGAAGAUAUUCCCGAAAUGCUGUCUAUUCCAAUCCUUCAAACAACCUUUAAGUCGCUUGAGUUUAUAUGAUAGGGAGUACAUACCGUACCCCUAAACAGGAAGGUUCCAAUUAUCACGUACCACUUGGAGAAAAUUGCUGCUAGAUAUCCAGAAAUUUUGGAAUUUAAAAGCCUUCGGGACCCGAGCACCAUCCUUUCGAAUGGUGAGUAGCAGGGAGGAGUGAUCCGAGGUGAUAUGACUGAGAUGCUGGACAGCUGCAUUGGCCGCAAAGUAAAGCCAGGCUUGGUUCACUAGUACACGGUCCAGUCACUUCCAAACUCGCGCACCAACUCUAACCUUGGUCAAAGUGAAAGAGCUUCCCGAAAAGGAUACUUCCGUGAGAGAGCAACUUUGUAUUGCCUCAUUGAAGUCAGCAAUAGCCCUAAGGUCCUAGACAGAUCUCCCCACAUAUUCCGUAACCGAUGAUAUAACGUUGAAAUUCCCUCCCACUAACCACGAUUUUGUGGCUGCGUUAGCUAUGGAUACCAGGUCGGACCACAGUGCUCGAUGCUCCGCCCGUGUGCAUUUGACGUAGACAAAAGUUGCAAUCCCCACACUAGACCAAGAGUCAUGUGCCAUCAUAACAUGGAGCAAUUGCUCAGAGUUGCGUGAAACAGCGAAGUGAAAAUUAGAUCUCUAUAGAAGCCAAAUUUUGUUAGACACAUUGAACAAACUAAAGUUAAAAGAAAUUUUGGAACAAAGACUUUCUAUCUGAGCCGCGUCUGCCAACGGCUCAAGAAGAACCAGGACAGAAAUGUUGUGGAUACGAACUAAAUGUUUCAAGCGAUGGACUGAAGAUUUACCCACCGCCCCCUUUAUAUUUCAAAUUAGAAAACUAUUCAUUGGAAAGAAUAGAGGAAAAAGGACCAACAGCUUUAAAAGCUUGCCUCGUAAGAAUAUGCCGUGGAAGCUGAAUGUGGCACCUUUUCUUUCGGGACUUCUUUGAGGCCACGAUAACAAAUCCGUCUUUGGCUCGAGCAAGUGAUAGAAAUGGCUAGGUUAAAGAGGCACUGAAAUCCCUGAGAGAGGCGACUAGCAGGCCUCGAUCAGUGGUAAGGGGUUGUGCUGCCUUUUUCUCAGUGUUCGAGCAAGAGGUAGCCCGCUUGCCCUUUCCCCCUAUUACGGCGAGUGAGAGCCAUGUCAUCCAAAUGCCCCGCUUAAGCUGAUCAGUAGAGAUGGCUGCGAGGAAAUCAGGCACAAUUUCUGCCCAGCCACCUCCCACACCACUGGCCUAACCGUUGUUGUCAUAGGCUUGCGCAGGCGACCCCAUCCUUGGGAGAGAACCAGACUGCAAGGUCAAGUCUGGGAUGGCCUGAGCUGACUCCUCGGUAGCAGCAUGUCCUUCGGUGCAUGGCUCCAGCGCAAGGGAGGAGCUGUCAGCGCCUGCGGCUACCUUGGUUGGUGCCUCUACUGCUGCAACCACUACACCAGAAUUCUGGGCACCAAAAGCGCCAGGCUGUAAUACUGAAGUGACCUGUUCAGAUCUCUCGCCCGCACCGUUACCAUCUGUGCAUGGCUCCAGGGAGGCGGUGUCCAUCUCCAUGGCUGCCUAACCCACGUUGGUAGUCAUCUCCUGUGCUGGUGCCCAUGGCGGCAGUACCCAGAGCCAAAUGUGCUGUGCUGUUAGCCUCCUUGCGCUUCGAGAGGUGUUGGCAGUCAGGGCCGGUAUGGCCUUGCUUACGACAUCCGGAGCAGUAGGGAGGGAGAUUAUCAUAGCCCACCCUCUGCCAGAAACCUCUGCUGCCAACACAUAUCCAAAUACGAUUCGGGUGAUCUCUCAGAAGGUCCAAAUCAACGCAUACCCGUGCAACGCUUGGCCGAGAUAGGGUAGCAGUGGCUGUAUCAAGCUUAAGGGGGGGUGCCAAUCGCACUUGCGAUGGAGAACAGGGAGGAUUUAUCAAAAAAAAUGGACUGGUAACUGUUCGAAGGAGAGCUAGACCAGAGCGCGCGAAGGUUCGCUGUCGAGCUUGAAAUCUAGAGUCCAUCUGAAAACGCGGAGUGGGAAGCCAGAAAUUAUCCAACGCCUUCUUAGCCAGCAACGCAGGUAGUCAUCUUCUGCUGAGAAAUGAAGAAGCUCGUGCCAUGGGUCUAGAACACCAACUUUGAGAUCCGAUCUGAAGCCUAUAUGUUGCAAGGACUUACGGAUUGUGUCCAGGUUUGGCCGCCCAUAAGAAAAUUUUCCAACAAGUGUGUGCUUGAACGGUGAAGUCAGCAGCGUGAUGUCGGCAUCCGAGAAUAGCAUUGCUGGUUCUCCGUGCAACUGGGAGAUGGCUUUGAUCUUGCAGGAGGAAGGAGCUGCCUGGUUCCGCAGCACAUCAGCAAAGAAGUGGCCGUCUUCCGCUAGGGUUGCAUGAGCAGCUAGGGUUUCUUCGGUUUCAUGUGCUUCCACCAUCGAUAGACAGGGAUAUUAUUGAAAAAAUUAAUGGAAGUCAGGGGGAAGGCCUAGUUGUUAGGGGCAGAAUUUGUUUAUCUCAAUUCAUAUAUUUUGAUGAUUACAAAAUAAAUGGAUGGUACUAAUACUCUUUGAAGAGACCCUUUUCAGAAAUGACACUAAACAGGUGUGUGGACUUAAAGCAAAAGAAGAUAAAAAAGGAUGAAAAGUGCUGAGGAAGUUGUCGGACGCGCAAAAGGAGAGUAUCGGACGUCCGACAUCCUUUGAGUAUCUUCGGACGAGUGAAGAACUCAGACUCGGACGUCCGAAGAAGACAAGCCAGGGCUUCUACAAUUACUGAUCACGAUCGGACGCUCAACACCUGAAUAUCGGACGUCCGACAAGCGUUGCUGCACUUCGGACGCAACACUCUGGACGCAUCGGCCGUCCGAAGGAAUUGAAGAGGAAAUUUCAAGUGUUCAUUUUACCCUCGGACGCAUGGUGAUAAGGGAUCGGACGUCCUAAGAGAUUCAAGAAAACUUCCAGAACUCACUGAUCUCGGUCGGACGCAUAAAAACUGAAUAUCGGACGUCCGACAGCACCAACGGCUAGUUGACUCUUCAGUUGUCUUCUACCCGUUGACAGCAUUAAUUGAAGAAUUUUCUGGUCUCCUAUAAAUAGAACAAAGUCAACCACUUCAAAGAAGCUUUGCACAUCAAGUCUACAUCAGAUUGUGAGUGAUUCAAGUGUUAGAAUACUCUAAAGGAAUAUUUGUAUUCUUAGCUUGUGCAAUUGUCUUGUAAUUUUUCAAGUGUGACACAGCUUCUUCAAUAGUGUAGCAUUGUGAGGAUUUUUCGAGUGUUUGUAAAACUUUCUUGCUUGACCAAGUGUGGUUUGGGGCAAGAAGGAAGUGAUCCUUCCCUUGUACACAGAAUAUUGGUUGCAAGAUUGUUCAACUUGAAGUAGCCUGGUAUAUAAAAGUGCUGUUCAAACUCUAGUUGAGUUUGAAGCCUGGUUUGUUUCACUAUUCUCGUUUACAGCUUUUUUAUAUAUAUAAAUUGUUCUCCUAUUCAUCUUACGAAUACCUGUGCCUUCUUGUAAUCUGAUCCAUUGGGUGGUCUUUGAGAAAAGAAAGGUAGGCUUUGAAAAAAAGUGACCUAUAUCUUAGCUAUUUUUUUUUGAAAACCUAAUUCACCCCCCUCUUAGGUUGUCUUCGAUCCUUACAAUUGGUAUGAGAGAUUGGUCUCCUAGAGAUUAAGCUCAAUCGGCUUGGGAGUAGAUAUGACAACCAACAAUGCCAUGUUCUUUGAGGGACAACCAACAUGCCAUGUUCAAUGGAUCAAACUAUGUGAGUUGGAAAGAAAUGAUGAUUAUAUUCUUACAAUCUAUUAAUAUUGAGUUGUGAUUUAUUGUUAGUGAAGGUCCAUAUGACGCAACUAUUAUUGAUGAAACUACUCAUAGGCCGAGACAAAAGGCCAGAAGUGAGCUGACUGCUGAAGAUAGAAUUCAUCUCACUCUAAAUGCCAAGGCUAUGAACGUUCUAUACAGUGCAUUGGACUCAAAUGAGUCUAUUAGAGUCAAAGGCUGCAAAUCUGCAAAAGAAAUUUGGGAUAAACUUAGAGAGAUCCAUGAGGGAAGCGAGAAUGUGAGAGAACAAAAGAAAUCCAUUCUGGUCACUAAGUAUGAAUCUUUUAAGAUGGAGCCCCAUGAAAAUAUUGACAAAAUGUAUUGUAGAUUCAAUGAUCUGAUCAAGGAUUUAGAGAUGCUUGAGAAGGAGUACUCUCUAGGUGAGAAGAACAGAAAAAUUCUGAAUGCUCUAUCAAAGGAUUGAGAAAGCAAAGUGACUGCCAUUGAGGAAGCCAAGGAUCUAAAUACCUUAUCCAUUGAAUCUCUGAUUAACUCUCUAACUUCAUACAAACUGAAACUUAAAUCUAAGAUGCAGGAUGAAGAAGACACAAAAGUAAGAAAGAGUAUUGCUCUGAAAGCUUCACAAGACGAAGAUGAAACAGUCUCACAGGAUGAAAAUGAUUUGGAAGGUGAUGACAGUGAUAUUGCACUCAUCAUAAGAGGUUUCAAAAGAUUUCUCAACAAGAGAAGAUUCAGGAAAGACGGAUCCAGCUAUUCCUUACCAAAUCAGUCUAAUGACUUCAGAAACAGAGGGAAACUGGAGUUCAACAAGAAGCUGACUGAUAAGUGUUUCGAAUGUGGCCAACCAGGAUACUAUGCGAAUGAGUGUCCAAUGAAGAAAAAGAAGGAGAACAAGGUUGAACGAAAACCAAAGUUCAACAAUUUUCAAAUUACCUGCAAUGAUUGCAACUCAGAAGGUGAAGUUGAAGAAGAAGAGGAAUCUACUCAAGUGGCUUUCAUGGCCAUUGGAGAUGAAGAGAUAACACAAUGCAACUCUCAAAUCGACAGUGAUAGUGAAUCUGAUGAUGAUGUUAAUUCUUUUCUAGAAAAAAUGCAUAACAGCCUGAAAGAAUCCUAUGUUAAAAACAAGGAACUAAAGCAAAAAAUUAACUUUCUUAUAAAAGAUAAUGCAAAUCUUUUUCGAUAAAACAAGUGUCUUGAGCAUGAAAAUGAGAACCUGAAAAGAACUGAAACUGAUGUGAUUGCUGAAUUUUACAAAAAGAAAAAUUUCUGUGACAUACUCAGAAAUGAGCAAUGUAGCUUAAGAAAAAGGAUGGAUGAUUUAUGUCAUUUGUUACAUCAUAUAAAACAGAACCGUCUUCAAAAGAAUGACACUGAACCUUAUGUUAAUACUCAUCAAAUAAGACUGAAUCAAAAUGCAAAUGAGUUUGCAAUCCACAGGAGAAGACAAGUCAGAUUCAUUAAACCUGUUCAUUUGAUUGAUUCAAUGUCAGUAUGCAAUUUUUGUUGUCAAUUUGGUCACAUGAAUAGCAACUGUUAUGUUAAGAAAAACAUGAGGAAUGGCAUGAGAUGCAUGUGGAUAGUUAGACAUAAGACUAACUCUCAAGGACCCAACAUGUAAAGGGUACCAAGUAUUAUCCUGUGGGUUUGUGUGCGUAGGUGAACUAGGAUAACAUUGCUAAAGAAUCAAAAUGGUUCAUUGAUAGUGGAUGUUCAAGACAUAUGACUGGUGAUGCAUCACAAUUCGUUAAACUCAAGCAAAAAGCAAGUGGAAAGGUAACGUUUGGAGAUGAUAACAAAGCCAAAACUGUUGGUAUUGGUGAUGUUGGUAAGAAUGGUAAAACCUCUAUCCACAAUGUUCUUCUCGUUGAUAAUUUGAGCUACAAUUUAUUAAGUGUUAGCCAACUGUGUGAUAGGAAUCUAUUUGUAUUGUUCAAAAAGCUUGAAUGUCUCAUAUUUGACUCAAAGUUCAACAUUAUUUUCAAAGAAAAAAGGGUUAAUGAUGUCUAUGUAGUUAUUCUUGAAAAAAUUGAUUCCUCCUAUCUCAAAUGUCUCAAAGUAGCAAAUGAGGACCCAUGGUUAUGGCAUAGAAGACUGUGUCACUUCAACAUGGAUUUGUUGAAGGAAAUCUCUAAAAAGGAUCUUGUUAGAGGUCUCCCGAAAAUCAAAUUUGAAAAGGACCGGAUAUGUGAUGCUUGCCAAUUUGAAAAACAAGUCAAGGUAUCUUUUAAAUCCAAGAAAUGUGUUUCUACUUCAAAAUCAGUUGAACUUUUGCACAUUGACCUGUUUGGUCCUACACAAACUACAAGCCUUGGUGGUAAGAGAUAUUAUUUUGUAAUUGUUGAUGAUUACUCUAGAUAUACUUGGGUGUUAUUUCUUACUCAUAAAGAUGAUGCCAUUAAGAAAAGUGCAAAAUCUGCUUGGCUUGAAAAUUGUUAGGAUUAGAAGUGAUAAUGGGUCAGAAUUCAAGUUCUGUGAUUUUCCAGAAUUUUGUGAUCAUAAUGGCAUUACUCAUGAAUUCUCUAUUGCUAGAGUCCCCCAACAAAAUGGAGUUGUAGAAAGAAAAAAUAGAACUCUCUAAGAGGCUGCUAGAACCAUGCUCAAUGAAUGCAAUUUACCAAAAUAUUUUUGGGUUGAAACCAUAAACACAGCCUGUUAUACCAUGAACAGAGUUCUCCUAAGACCAAGUUUGAACAAAACCUCCUAUGAGCUUAUGUUUGACAAAAAGCCUGUUGUUGGUUACUUUAAAGUAUUUGGUUGUAAAUGUUUCAUUUUGAAUAUCAAGGAACAUCUUGGAAAGUUUGACAAAAAAUCUGAUGAGGGAAUUUUCUUGGGAUAUUGUGAAAACAAAAGAGGCAACAGAGUUUAUAAUCGUAGAACACUGAUCAUAGAGGAAACGAUACACAUUACGUUUGAUAAAUCUAAUGGUGACAUUUCUAUGAGUUGUGGUGAAGAUGAUGAUACAGGUGUUCAAGAAGAACUAAAGAAGUUAGCAAUCAAUGAUCAUGACUCUGCUUCACCAAAAACUGAUUUAAAGGAUGCUGAUACUCAAGACAGUCCAGCUGGAGAAGUGAAUGACAGAGAUACCGCUACUCCUAAUGAUCUACCAAGAACCUGGAAAUUUGUUCAUAACCAUCCCAGGGAGCUUAUAAUUGGUGAUCCAUCUGAAAAGGUCAGAACUCGUUCUUUUAGACACCUAGUAGAUAAUCUUGCUUUAGUAUUACAUAUUGAACCUAAAAAUGUUGUUGAUGCAUUGAAUGAUGAGCACUGGAUUUUAGCUAUGGAAGAAGAGUUAAUCCAAUUUGAAAGAAACAAGGUUUGGACCCUGGUUGCUAGACCACAAGACCAUCCUAUCAUUGGUACAAAGUGGAUUUUUAGAAACAAAAUGAAUGAUAAAGGGGAGGUUGUUAGAAAUAAGGCCAAGCUGGUGGUUAAGGGAUACACUCAAGAAGAGGGGAUAGACUUUGAUGAGUCCUUUGCACCUGUAGCUAGGUUGGAGUCCAUAAGAAUGUUUCUAGCAUUUGCAUGUUUCAAGAAUUUUAAAUUAUUUCAGAUAGAUGUUAAGAGUGCUUUCUUAAAUGGUUUUAUAGAUCAAGAAGUCUAUGUUGACCAACCUCCUGGCUUUGAAAAUGUAUCUUAUCCAAAUCAUGUUUUUAAACUCUCAAAACCUUUAUACGGAUUAAAACAAGCUCCUAGAGCAUGGUAUGAACGUCUGAGUGGAUUUUUGAUUGAAAAUGAUUUUAAAAGGGGCAUUGUAGAUACUACACGUUUCACAAAACAAAACUCACGAGAUUUUUUAAUUGUGCAAAUAUAUGUGGAUGAUAUCAUAUUUGAUGCUACUAAUGAGAACUUGUGCAAGGACUUUUCCAUCAUCAUGCAAAAAGAAUUUGAAAUGAGCAUGAUGGGAGAACUGAACUUCUUCCUUGGACUCCAAGUGGUUCAAACCCAAGAUGGAACAUUUAUAAAUCAAGCAAAAUACACCAAGGAGCUGCUGAAAAGAUUUGGAAUGGAGGAUUCAAAGCCUGUUGGAACACCUAUGUGCACCUCUACCAAACUUGACAAGGAUGAGGAAGGUACGAAAGUUGAGGAAAAGAAGUACAGAGGUAUGAUUGAAAGUUUACUUUAUUUAACUGCCAGUAGGCCUGACAUCAUGUUUGUUGUAUGCUUAUGUGCUCGAUUUCAAUCCUGUCCAAAGGAAUCACACUUGAAUGCAGUAAAAAGAAUUUUUAGAUAUCUUAAAGGAACCUUAAACUUUGGUUUAUGGUAUCCAAAAUGUCAUGAACUUCCUUUAUAUGGAUUCUCUGAUGCUGAUUUCGGUGGUUGUAAAAUAGAUAGAAAAAGUACUACUGGUAUAUGCAACUUUCUUGGAAAUUGUUUGGUAUCUUGGUUUAGUAAAAAACAAAAUGCUAUCUCAUUGUCCACUACUGAAGCUGAAUAUGUUGCUGCUGGUGCUUGUUGUGCUCAAUUGCUAUGGAUGAAAAACACAUUGAAUGAUUUUGGUUUAGUGUAUGAAUGUGUACCUAUGUACUAUGACAACACUAGUGCAAUUAAUCUGACAAAAAAUCCCAUUCAGCACUCUAGGACUAAGCACAAUGAUAUAAAGCAUCAUUUCAUUCGCGAUCUUGUCUCAAAGGGGGUAAUCCGUGUCCAGUUUGUUUGUUCUAAAGAGCAAAUCGCUGAUAUCCUCACAAAAGCUCUUCCACUGGAUCAAUAUGUGUUCCUGAGAACAAAACUGGGCGUCUCAGAAAAAAUAUUCUAAGUUUUAUUUUCUGGUCAAUCUUUAUCGGACGUCCGAUGAAUUGGAACGGACGUCCGACAGUGUUCUUUGUCCAGUUUCAGAAAAAUCCUGGUUCGGACGGAUGUGUCGGACGCUUCAAUACGUUCGGACGUCUGACACUCAAAAAUUGAGCACUAUAAGGCAGUUACCUAUUCUUCCUAGUUCUUUAUCUUCCAUAGUCUCGGACGCAACCUUUCAGUUUCCUCUCAUAUUUGAAAUUCAAAUUCCUCUCUCAUCAAACCAAGUUCCAAAAAAUUGACUCAACCAACUCCAUUACACCCCUAUUGCUCAUUAACCACUCAUAAAAAUCACUCCUAAUCCCCAACUACCCCAAAGGUCCAAAUUUACAUACGAAACCCUAACUUCACAUAACUCUCUCCUUGCGGCAUUUUAGUGCAUUCUAGUUGGCUCACACUGCAUUUCUCCUCUAUACACCACGUUCUGCAUCAACAAUCAUAUCCACAUUGCAUCAUGGUUAGAAUCAGAGGAGGAUCUACUAGUGUCGGACGGUCUUUUAGGCUUAGAGAUGAGGACAUUGAGAUUAAGGAACCACCCCCUGUGGCACCUAAGAAGAAGAUUGUGACCCGUGGUGGUAAAGCGAAGCAAACUGCCCAAAGAAAAUUGGUUACUCCAACUGCUGAAUCAUCUGAUGAGCAGUUGGAAGGGCAGAACUCUGAAGGGAACAUUGUUGGUGGAAAUGAGGAACCAGAGCAGGCUACCCAGGGUAAUGAAACUGUCACAAGGUCAUCUGGUAAAAGAAAGAGAACUGCAAAGAGGAAGAGCACUCCCCAAUCCAAGAAAAAGCAAUCUGCUGAUCCCUCUGUUGAUCAGCAGAAUGAACGAAACAUUGCUGAGAAUUAGCAAACACCUGAACCCUCCACCAGGAAAUCUCCAAGGACAAGGUCUGAGGCUCAGAAUGUUGGGGCAUCUGCCACACAAACCUCGAAAGGCAAACGGUCUGGGAAGAUCCAGUAACACAGCCCGUAACAAAACCCACUCCUCUCCCAAAAUUCAUUGAUGAUGAAGCCAGAGACAGAUUUGAGUUAGUCUCUCAAAAAGGGUUCAUCACCCAAAGACUCAUCCUUUCCUACGAAUUCCGUAAACUUGAUCUUGAACCUGUCAUUAAACUGUUUGAAUUCCCGAAAUGGACUCAUCUUCUGACCAUUCCUAAUGUCUUUUACUCUGACAUGCUUUAUCAAUUCUUUGCUAAUCUUAGAAAGGGUAAAUCACACACUGAACUCAUCUCUAGGGUCAACUCUAUAGACAUCACGUUAACUCCUGACAUUGUGAAUUCCAUUCUGAAAACUAGCAUUGAAUCUGGUUUCAAAGGAAAAAUUGUAAAUUUCUUUUCAUAUGAGGAAUUUCCUUCUGCCUACCAUCAUUUUUACAUUGCCAAACUCAUGACCUAUUUUCAAACUCACUUCAAUACUCCUGCUGAAGUAAGAUUAGAUGAUCUCAGUCCUCAGAAUCUGAUCAUCUUUACCAUCAUUUCGAAUAUGUUGGUGCCAACUGAUGGCCACAGAACAGAUGCAAACAAAAUGGAACUUUAUCUUUUCUAUUGCUUUGUUGAAAAAAUUCGCAUUGACUUUGGUUUUGUAAUGUGCAAGUUUCUGCUCAAAAUUAGUACUGACAGUCGUAGGAAGCUCUCUUAUGGCAGAUUUCUGACUCCUAUCUUUGCACAUUUUGAAAUACCUUUUUCUGAAAAAUCUCCCAAAGACAGUGUUUCACCAGUUUUCUCAAAAGCUUACUUUGAAAGAAAGAACUUAAGAUUUUUUGAUGGCCAUUGGUGCUAUAAGGAGACUGUGGCUGAAUCCAGAAGAAAAAACUUUCAUGAAACCCCUGUCACUCCUAGGACUCCUCGUGAUCAGUCAGACUAUGUCCCUCCCUUCACCAUUCAUCCUAGAAAGUCUUCUAGCAAGUCCUUCACAUCCAAUUCUGAAGUCAUCUCCUUGCUUGAAGACCUCAAACAGCAUGUCUCGCUUAUUGAAGAUGGUCUCAUGAUGACCAUGACCCCUGCCCAACAAUCCUCCUUCAUUGAAAAAAGAAAUCUUCUUGUCCCUCCCAUACCUGAAAACAAUGCAAAUGUUCAUGGGAAAGAGCCAAGACCUGAGCCCAUUGGGCCAGCUACUGGUACUGAGACUACACCAGGUUCCAGUUCUCAGCCCAAGGAUAAAGGCAAGGCUCCAGCAACUGAGGAAGCAUAUGAAGAUGAUGAUGAAGAAACUGAGGAAGAAGAGGACCCUGAACAAUUUCGUCUGACCAGGAGGAGGUCUGGAUCAUCUAAAAUCACCAUCUAGGCACUACUAGGUCACUGCACCUUAAUCUAGGACUAUAGUUCAUCUUUUGCAUUGCAAAACUUUUGGCUAAGUGAUGUACACCUGAUCUGUACAACUGAAUAUUUUCUACUGUUUAUGGAUGUUAUAACUAAGUGUUUCGUAUGAAUGUUUAUGGAUGUUAUGAAUGUUUGCUAUGAAUGGUUGUUUUUUAUGAAAUCUGCUAAAUGAAUGUGUUCGUUAUGAAUGUUUCUGUUGAUUCCAAAUUGUGCUGAACAUGAAUGGAUUUUACUGAUGUUAUCUGAUACUGCUGGUAUCAAAACUGAUACUCACUUUUAUGAUGACAAAAAGGGGGAGAAUUGGAUUAGCACUAAUAGUAUAGAGUAACUAGUUAGGGGGAGUCAGUUUUAGGGGGAGUCAGUUUUAGGGGGAGUUGCGCUGGAUUAGCAUUGAUGGUGAAUCUCAAUUCAUAUCUUUUGAUGAUUACAAAAUAAAUGGAUGGUACUAAUACUCUUUGAAGAGACCCUUUUCAGAAAUGACACUAAACAGGUCUGUGGACUUAAAGCAAAAGAAGAUCAAAAAGGAUGAAAAGUGCUGAGGAAGUUGUCGGACGCGCAAAAGGAGAGUAUCGGACGUCCGACAUCCUUUGAGUAUCUUCGGACGAGUGAAGAACUCAGACUCGGACGUCCGAAGAAGACAAGCCAGGGCUUCUACAAUUACUGAUCACGAUUGGACGCUCAACACCUGAGUAUCGGACGUCCGACAAGCGUUGCUGCACUUCGGACGCAACACUCUGGACGCAUCGGCCGUCCGAAGGAAUUGAAGAGGAAAUUCCAAGUGUGCAUUUUACCCUCGGACGCAUGGUGAUAAGGGAUCGGACGUCCUAAGAGAUUCAAGAAAACUUCCAGAACUAACUGAUCUCGUUCGGACGCAUAAAAACUGAAUAUCGGACGUCCGACAGCACCAACGGCUAGUUGACUCUUCAGUUGUCUUCUACCCGUUGACAGCAUUAAUUGAAGAAUUUUCUGGUCUCCUAUAAAUAGAACAAAGUCAACCACUUCAAAGAAGCUUUGCACGUCAAGUCUACAUCAGAUUGUGAGUGAUUCAAGUGUUAGAAUACUCUAAAGGAAUAUUUGUAUUCUUAGCUUGUGCAAUUGUCUUGUAGUUUUUCAAGUGUGACACAGCUUCUUCAAUAGUGUAGCAUUGUGAGGAUUUGUCGAGUGUUUGUAAAACUUCCUUGCUUGACCAAGUGUGGUUUGGGGCAAGAAGGAAGUGAUCCUUCCCUUGUACACAGAAUAUUGGUUGCAAGAUUGUUCAACUUGAAGUAACCUGGUAUAUAAAAGUGCUGUUCAAACUCCAGUUGAGUUUGAAACCUGGUUUGUUUCACUAUUCUCGUUUACAGCUUUUAUAUAUAUAUAAACUGUUCUCCUCUUCAUCUUACGAAUACCUGUGCCUUCUUGUAAUCUGAUCCAUUUGGUGGUCUUUGAGAAAAGAAAGGUAGGUUUUGAAGAAAAAUGACCUAUAUCUUAGCUGUUUUUUUUUUAAACCUAAUUCACCCCCCUCUUAGGUUGUCUUCGAUCCUUACAGAAUUGAUAAAAGAAAAUUUGACAGUAGAAUAUCUAAAUCUAGAUCUAAAUUUAGCUAUAGAAAUUUGGAGUGUAAUUAUUAUCACAAAAUGGGGCACAUUAAGGCAAAUUGAUUUAAACUGAAAAGAUUAGAGCAAAAUGGGAAACCUGAUGAGAAAAAUACUAAAACUAUCAAAACUCAUGUUGCAGCUAAUGAGAAUGAAGAAAAUAUUAUCUUCGUGAUUGAUAUCUAAAAAUGAAUGUAUUUAGAUUUGAAAUGCUCUUAUCACAUGUGUCCCAAUAUGGAUUUAUUUUCGCUUAUGAAUCUUGUAAUAAUGGAAUUAUUUUGAUGGGCAACAAUGUCAUUUGUGAUAUUAUUGGUAAGGGUAUAGUUUGAAUUAAAAUACAUGAUGGUAUUGUAAGGACGGUCAUCAAUGUUAGACAUGUUCCUGAUUUGAAAAAGAAUCUCAUCUCUUUGGGCAUCCUAGAGGCUGUUAGAUGCAAAUACAUUGCUAAAAAUAACAUCAUGAAGAUUUUUAAAGGUGCUCUUGUUGUAAUGAAAGGUUAAAAGUUUGUAGUUUAUGUGUUUUGCAUGGAUCUACUUCACAAGUUCAGUUACAGUUUUAUCAUCAUCAUCUUUAUCUAAUUCUGACAUUAUCAAAUUGUGACAUAUACGUUUUGGACAUAUGAGCGAGAAAGGGCUGGGCAUACCAAGCAAAAAGCGACUCUUUUGCGAUUAGAGUACUAGGUCAUUGGAAUUCUGUAAAUACUGUGUCUUUGAGAAGCAAAAAAAGAGUUAGUUUCAGUUCACUAAUAAUCCAUAAGACGAAAGGUACUCUUAAUUAUAUUUGUUUAGAUUUAUGGGGUUCAUUUCAUGUUUCAUCUAAGGGUGGUGUCAGGUAUAUAUUAACUCUCAUUAAUGAUUUUUCAAACAAAGUUUGGGUUAAUUUUUUAUACAUAAAACUAAUGUUUACCUCAUUUUCAAGCAGUAAAAAGUUCUGAUUGAGAAACAGAUAGGUAGACAGAUUAAAUAGCUUAGAACAGAUAAUGUCAUGAUAUUUUAUGAAAGAGAAUUUAAUGAAUUUUGUAAGAAUGAAGGAAUUGUUCGACGUCGCACUGUCAAGAUAACGUCUCAACAAAAUGACAUGACCAAACGUAUGAAGAGAAUACUUUUAGAGAGAGCAAGGUGUAUGAUCUAUAAAGCAGGGUUGACAAAGAACUUUUGGGUAGAAGCGAUCUUUAUGAUUUGUUAUAUUGUCAAUCGUGCUUUUGCAGUUCUUGAUUUUAAAACUCUUGAGAAAAUUUGGUCAAAUAUUCACGUUGAUUAUUCUAAUAUAAAAAUUUUUAAGUGCCCAACAUACAUGCAUAUAAAUAAUGAAAAAUUAGAGUCCUGAACUAAAAAGUAUAUUUUUCUUGGGUAUGCUUCUUGGGUGAAAGGAUGCAGAUUAUAGUGUUCUAAUCCCAAAUUUUUAAAAUUUAUAAUCAAUAGAGAUGUUACUUUUGCAAUAUAGAUGAUAGUAUGCAGAAGCAGAUGGAACUUGAGAUUGGUAGUUUUAGUCCUUUUAUUCAAUAAGUGCUGGUAGAUGCAUCUGAAUUUACUGAUGAAAAUAAUUCAAAAGGAGAAGAAUAUUUAGCCAAAGAUAGACCAAGGACGGAUAUUUAACCACCACAAAUAUAUACAAAUUUGAUUGCAUAUGUUUUGUGUAUUGCAAAAGAAAUUGAUUUAGUUGGUGAGCCUACUAUCUAUUCAGAUGCAGUUUUUUGUGAUGAUUGUUAGAUGGCUAAUUGUGCACAUAAUUUGUAAAUAAUUUUUCCUUUAUUUUGCUAAAAUAUGGUAUUAAUUGAUAAAUUUUACUCAUAUUUGAUUUUUGGUGUUGUUUCUAGGAAUUUGUGCUGAAAAGAGAAUAAAAGGUGCAUUAAAUAUGAAAUUUUCAGAAGACUACAUUCUAUAAGACAUGGGCACGUGAUAUGACCAAGUGAAAGACGGAACCCACGGGAUUGCUAAUGUC
rnacentral:lncRNA from 1 species